rnacentral:misc_RNA from 1 species
GAUCCAGGUGAUGGCUGUUCCUUUUUCAAGAGAAAAGGAACAGCCAUCACCUUUUUUUACGCGUG